rnacentral:rRNA from 1 species
UACGUAGGGGGCAAGCGUUGUCCGGAAUCAUUGGGCGUAAAGAGCGUGUAGGCGGCUUGGUAAGUCCGCUGUGAAAGUCCAGGGCUCAACCCUGGAAUGCCGGUGGAAACUGUCAAGCUUGAGUCCGGAAGAGGCGAGUGGAAUUCCUGGUGUAGCGGUGAAAUGCGCAGAUAUCGGGAAGAACACCCGUGGCGAAGGCGGC